UACGUAGGUGGCAAGCGUUGUCCGGAUUUACUGGGCGUAAAGGGCGUGUAGGCGGCUGGUUAAGUCCGAUGUGAAAUCUCCCGGCUUAACUGGGAAACUGCAUCGGAAACUGGUCGGCUUGAAGGUGGGAGAGGGUAGUGGAAUUCCCGGUGUAGUGGUGAAAUGCGUAGAUAUCGGGAGGAACACCAGUGGCGAAGGCGACUACCUGGCCCAUUCUUGACGCUGAGGCGCGAAAGCUAGGGGAGCGAACGGG
rnacentral:rRNA from 1 species